rnacentral:rRNA from 1 species
UACGAAGGUGGCAAGCGUUGUUCGGAUUUACUGGGCGUACAGGGAGCGUAGGCGGUUGGAUAAGCCCUCCGUGAAAUCUCCAGGCUUAACCUGGAAAGUGCAGAGGGGACUGUUCAGCUAGAGGAUGGGAGAGGAGCGCGGAAUUCCCGGUGUAGCGGUGAAAUGCGUAGAGAUCGGGAGGAAGGCCGGUGGCGAAGGCGACACGCUGGGCCGUACCUGACACUGAUGCGCGACAGCAUGGGGAGCAACAGG